rnacentral:rRNA from 1 species
CAAUAGCGUAUAUUAAAGUUGUUGCGGUUAAAAAGCUCGUAGUUGGAGUUCUGCCAGGUGCCGCCUGUCCGCCCCAGUGGUGAGUACGUGGCGCGCAUUUGGCCCUUUCAAGGGGAGCGUAUCUGCACUUUAUUGUGUGGUGCGGGAUCCUUGACUUUUACUUUGAGGAAAUAGGAGUGUUCCAAGCAGGCUCUCGUCGUGCACAGCUCAGCAUGGAAUAAUAGCAUUGGACCUCGAUUCUAAGCUGUUGGUUGCCAGAAGCGAGGUAAUGAUGAAGAGGGAUAGUUGGGGGCAUUCGUAUUUAACUGUCAGAGGUGAAAUUCUUGGAUUUGUUAAAGACUGACUACUGCGAAAGCAUCUGCCAUGGAUGUUUUCAUUGA